rnacentral:rRNA from 1 species
GCAAGUCGAACGGUAACAGUUCGAGCUUGCUAGAAGAUGACGAGUGGCGGACGGGUGAGUAAUGCUUGGGAACUUGCCUUUGCGAGGGGGAUAACAGUUGGAAACGACUGCUAAUACCGCAUAAUGUCUUCGGACCAAACGGGGCUUCGGCUCCGGCGCAAAGAGAGGCCCAAGUGAGAUUAGCUAGUUGGUAAGGUAACGGCUUACCAAGGCGACGAUCUCUAGCUGUUCUGAGAGGAAGAUCAGCCACACUGGGACUGAGACACGGCCCAGACUCCUACGGGAGGCAGCAGUGGGGAAUAUUGCACAAUGGGGGAAACCCUGAUGCAGCCAUGCCGCGUGUGUGAAGAAGGCCUUCGGGUUGUAAAGCACUUUCAGUUGUGAGGAAAAGUUAGUAGUUAAUACCUGCUAGCCGUGACGUUAACAACAGAAGAAGCACCGGCUAACUCCGUGCCAGCAGCCGCGGUAAUACGGAGGGUGCGAGCGUUAAUCGGAAUUACUGGGCGUAAAGCGCACGCAGGCGGUUUGUUAAGCUAGAUGUGAAAGCCCCGGGCUCAACCUGGGAUGGUCAUUUAGAACUGGCAGACUAGAGUCUUGGAGAGGGGAGUGGAAUUCCAGGUGUAGCGGUGAAAUGCGUAGAUAUCUGGAGGAACAUCAGUGGCGAAGGCGACUCCCUGGCCAAAGACUGACGCUCAUGUGCGAAAGUGUGGGUAGCGAACAGGAUUAGAUACCCUGGUAG